GUUUCUGCUGAUAUACAUCAUUGCAUCUAUCUGUCUGUAGAGCGCUUUUUUGGCCAGAUAAACAUUUCCGAUGUGACCACAAGUGCAGGCAAUCUGAGCUGGUCUGAGGGACCCGGUGCUGAGAACAUCAGUCACUACAGAGUGGAGGUCACUGGGGACAAAAACCAGACAUUUAACCGGACUGAACUGUUUCAAUACAUAGAGAAUCUGACAGCAGGAACUCUGUACAAAGUUCAGGUGUUUCCUGUGAAAUGUGGCAGGGAUCUCAAUCCGCAGAAUAUCUCCUUCUACACUUAUCCCUCUGAUGUGCAAAAUCUGAUUGUGGUGAGUGUGACAAAUGUUAGCGCCAACCUCAAGUGGAGUAAACCAGAUGGAAACCAUGAGUCAUACUCGGUAUAUGUCAAAUACAAGUCAAAUAAAAAUGUUACAGAACGAGUCCAAGAGUGUCAAGAUGAAGAGUGCACUAUUACGGCUCUUAUUCCAGGAACCGAGUAUGUAUUCACAGUUACAGCUGUAGUGAAUAAGACGAUUGAAGGUGUGCCGAGCAAUGUUUCUAAUUACACCAUACCUUCAACUGUCAGGAACCUAAGAUCAGCAGACAAUGACAGUACAGUCAUAAUGGCCUUUUGGGAUCCUCCUACUGGUAAUCAUUCAGGUUACCGCUAUUGUCUUAAAGAAGUCAAUAACAGCCGCGAGUGUACUUACUGCAACAUUGCAUCAGACAGCAGCAUUACAGCAAACAACAACAUCACAAACAGUAGUGAUACAACUACUGUCAGUAUUGCAGACUGCAAAACAGUGGAUGGAACAGAAACAUUUAUCAAAGUGACUAAUAAAUCAGACGGCAGCAUGUUUUGUCUGUGUGUGGCAGCACUAACAAAGACCAACACUCUGUCAGGAGAAAUGGUCACAAUCUUAGCAUACACAAAACCAAAAACUGUGACCCUCUUUUUGAACCCCAGCUCCCAAACCAUUUUUGCCAACUGGACAGUAGAAGGGAAGUAUGAAAAAUUUGAAGUUAGUAUUACAACGGAUGCAUACAUUUAUACCGACCAGUUUACUACUCCAAACUUGAAUUACUCGUUCAAAGAUCUGAAGGCAGGAGUGAAUUACAACGUUUCAGUUGUCACACUAAAUGGUAAACUGAGAAGUAAUCCUGCUAAUAAAUCAGAGUUCACGCGUGAGUAAUUAUAUUACAAUCAAAAUUUUUCAAAUCAUUUGUAAAGUAGCUUAAAUUACUGUCUCCAUCAGCUUUUAGGUUCAGUUGGAUAACAUCUCACAAAUCAAUUCACAGGGCCCCUGCUAAACCUUGUGGGUAAAGGCCACCACUAACAAAACUACCAUACAAGUAAGCUGGGAAGCUCCAACUGAGUCCGAGGGUGCCUCGAUUAAAUAUACAGUGAAAUGUUACACUGCUUUUUGGGAAAAAUCUCAUGAAGUUCAGACACCUGAUAGAAGCAUUUCCUUUACUGGUUUAAAUCCAGGAACAAGAUAUGAGUGUAAUGUCAGUGUCGUGGCAGGAAAUUUGGAGAGUUUUCCAGAAACUGUUCAUGCAAACACAGGUAAAGAGAUUACAUUUACUUUAUUUCUGAAGCAAACAUUUUGCUUUGUUGUUUGCUUUUAUUGUGCUUCAUGAUUGUGCUGCUGUUUCCUGGUGUUUAAAAUCAUCUUUCUUUGUUUCCAGUGCCUGAGAAGAGGAAACUGGUCCUCACGAUGUUGUGUUCCUCUAAAAACUCACUUCAUUGUGGCAGAAAUGAAACUCGGUUUGAACUGUUUGAAAAGGUGAAGAAAUAUUAAUUGACUACAUCAAGCUUGUUGCAGCUUUACAACAAUAGUUGUUUUUAUUUAAACCUUUUACCUAUAAGGCAAAAAAAAAGAAAAAAUUUUACAACAAUAGUUGUUUUUAUUUAAACCUUUUAUAAGGCUAUAAAAAAAAAAAAAACAGCUUUGUACAGAUAGCUGGAAAAGUUAACUGAAAUAAACUAAAAUUUCCAAUCUGUCUUUCAGCUGAAAAACAUAACUCGUGACAAAUUUCAAGACUUGGUUCACUGGAAUCUGAGUUGGGCAAAAACUGGGUUUGUAAAAACAGCUGAAUCUCCAACAAGUAACAUUUGUUGUCAUGAAUAUAUAUAUAUAUAUAUAUAUAUAUAUACCUUUAUUUUUUUUUUUUUUUUUUUUUUACAAAUUAGUUUGAUUUAUAUUUAACUCUGACUCUCAUUUCACAGAAACAACAUCCUUUGAAUCUCUAUGACGUGGCCUACUAUAACUAAAAGGACAAAUCACUUACUGAAAUUUUGUGUGAUUUCAUGCCUGGUGAAUUCUGGAUUUGUUUUCUUACAUUUACAUGAAUGCAUUUAUCAGACGCUUUUAUCCAAGGUGACUUACAAAAGAGGAACAAAAGCAAUUUGUCAAAGAGCCAACAAUAUUUGUAAUAUACAAUGCCAGUUUUAUUAGACUAGAUUAGGAAACAAGUAAGAGAAGAGAAGAAAUUCAGAGAAGAAAAAGUUUUUGGUAAAACCUGCAUUACGGGAACCAAAUGUCCUCACAGGGAUAGUAAAACCUGACAUUUUUUUUUUUUUUUUUGUCCCGACGCUUUUAUCCAAGGUGACUUACAAAAGAGUAACAAAAGGAAUUUGUCAAAGAGCCAACAAUAUUUGUAAUAUACAAUUUAUUAGAAAACAAGUAAGAGAAGAGGAGAAAUUUAGAGAAUAAAAUGUUUUUGGAAACCCUGCCUUAUGGGAACCAAAUGACCUCACAGGGUUAGUAAAACCUGACAUUUUUUUUGGUCCCCAUGAGGAAAACAGCUUAUAAAUCAUACCAAAUGCUUUUGUAAAAAUGCUAAAAGUUUUCUGUGUGGGUUAUGGGGCGAGGGUAUAGAAUAUAAAGUUAAUAUACAGUAUACAAACCAUUAUGUCUUUGGAAAGUGCAUUGGUUUAAGGGGUUGUUAAGUGCUUGUUUUUAGCUUCUUGAAGGUUUUGUUUAGUUUCUUACUCGUUUUUGAUCCUGUAUAGCAUUUUUUUCUUGUUACAAAUUGCAUAUUGACAUAUUUACUAUAAAUUGAGUGGUGUGAUGAUAUUUGCUAUAGUUGUGGGAGCUAUAAUUCUUCUACAAAACUGUAACAUGAAUACCUUUUUCUUAAAGACAUUUGCUAUAGCUUCAUGUGAAUUUCAGUUUUAAAUUUCAUGAUGGAUUACUGCAGCUUAUUUUGGGGAUUGGUUUCAUUAUAAUUAAAGAUAUUACACAUGGGUUUUAUUACACAUGGGUUAUUAUUCUGUGUUAAUUAUGGGGCUCUUUAAGAGAGUGGGGCUGGGAGAAGUCAAGGGAGAGAACAAGGAAGAACAGUGUGAAGAAAGGGAGACAAAUAAAUGUUGGAAACUGAGUUAACACAUUCAAUGGGCGUGCUCUCUUUUGUCUAAGAACACAACAUGGUGUCAGAAGUAAAGCGAUAGUAGAGGGCAGCAACAAAUCCAGCUGGGAACAAGCAGGCCUCCAAGCACCACCUUCUUGAUUCAGCCUCCAGAGCCAUUCAAUUUCUCAAAACCUCAAGAGUGGGAGAAAUGGAUAAGGUGGUUUGAAAACUUUCGACAGGCCAGUAAUUUAAAUGUCAGCUCGCAGGCUAAUCAGGUGAACACAUUAAUAUAUUGCAUGGGAGAUGAGGCAAAUAAUGUGUUAAGAGGACAGUCUUUAUCCGAAGCACAACAGCAGGAGUACAAAACUGUUAAAGAGACUUUCAACUGAUUUUUCGUGCCCGAAAAUAACAUAAUUUACAAACAAGCAAGAUUCAAUCAAAGAGUACAGCAGCCAAAUUAACCAGUCAAUAAUUUCAUAACAGCCCUGUAUGCUCUUGCAGAAAACUGUAACUAUGAUGCUCUUCAUGAUGAAAUUCUCAGAGAUAGACUUGUAGUUGGUCUAAGAGAUAGUAUAAUAUCUGAGCGGAUGUAGCUGGACAGAGACCUCACUCUUGAGAAAGCCAUUAAUAUGGCACGACAAUCAGAAGUUAUUAAAAAACAGCAGACUGACUUAAGAGGUGAGUCAAAAGGUGGAGCUCGAUGGAGUGGCUGCAAAAAUGAACAAAAUAACAGCAAAAAAGGGACCAUCAAAAUUCAAGAACAGCAGUUUUCCCAACCAUACGUCAACAUCAUUUCUGAACAAAAAUGAUAAAAAGCUCUGUCAAAGAUGUAGAAAAACACCUGGUCAUGGGAAAUGGCAGUGCCCAGCCAAAGAUGUUUCAUGUCACACAUGCGGUAAAAAAGGGCACUAGAGCAAGAUGAGUAAAACUGCCAAAACAGUGCAUGCUAUUGAAGCAGAGGAGUGCAAUAAAUCGUAAGAGCCCUGGUUUUUAGGCACAU
rnacentral:lncRNA from 1 species